UACGUAGGGUGCAAGCGUUGUCCGGAAUUAUUGGGCGUAAAGAGCUCGUAGGCGGUCUGUCGCGUCUGCUGUGAAAACUCAGGGCUUAACCCUGAGCUUGCAGUGGGUACGGGCAGACUAGAGUGCGGUAGGGAGACUGGAAUUCCGUGGUGAUAGCGGUGAAAUGCGCAGAUAUCAGGAGGAACACCGGUGGCGAAGGCGGGUCUCUGGGCCGUAACUGACGCUGGAUGCACGAAAGCUAGGGGAGCAAACAGG
rnacentral:rRNA from 1 species